GGAUAUGAGGGCAAUCAGGCUGUAAUAUCUGCAGUCACCCAUUGAUUUCUAGGGCUGAUUCACCUGAUCUGGCUAGAUAGGCAGGGAUCUCUUUCCUCCCUCUCUCUCUUUGUACAUUCUCCCCUCCACAGUUGCUGUGUCAAAGAGGAUGACCUUACCUGAUAGGGAAAGAUCAUGCAGAGUAGCUGUGCUCCCCUCCACAACCUUCAAAAAAGCUCUCAAAAUUAAGUUUAACAUGAUAAAAUUACUCUGAUAAUUCAGAAGAAACUUUAAAAUCUAGGAGUGGCUUUGAUUU
rnacentral:snRNA from 1 species